UCGUUGUAGCAAUACGAUGGAAAAUUUAGUGGCGAACGGGUGCUUAACACGUGGGCAACCUGCCAAGAAGUGGGGGAUAGCUCGCCGAAAGGCGAAUUAAUACCGCAUGUGAUUAGAGAGGACAUCCUUUCAAAAUUAAAGUCGGGGCAACCUGACGCUUUUUGUGGGGCCCGCGGCCUAUCAGCUAGUUGGUGAGGUAACGGCUCACCAAGGCUUUGACGGGUAGCUGGUCUGAGAGGACGACCAGCCACACUGGGACUGAGACACGGCCCAGACACCUACGGGUGGCAGCAGUCGAGAAUUUUUGACAAUGGGGGAAACCCUGAUCGAGCGACGCCGCGUGGAGGAUGAAGGUCUUCGGAUUGUAAACUCCUGUCAUUGGGGAACAAGGUGCAUACGUUAACUGCGUGUGCAUUGAUAGUACCCGAAGAGGAAGAGACGGCUAACUCUGUGCCAGCAGCCGCGGUAAUACAGAGGUCUCAAGCGUUGUUCGGAUUCAUUGGGCGUAAAGGGUGCGUAGGCGGCGCGGUAAGUCGGGUGUGAAAUCUCGGAGCUUAACUCCGAAACUGCAUUCGAUACUGCCGUGCUUGAGGACUGGAGAGGAGACUGGAAUUCACGGUGUAGCA
rnacentral:rRNA from 1 species